rnacentral:rRNA from 1 species
GCGUGAGGGAAGAAUGGUCUAUGGCCUGUAAACCUCUUUUGUCAAGGAAGAAUAGACGGCACGCGUGCUGUUUUGCCAGUACCUGACGAAUAAGCAUCGGCUAACUCCGUGCCAGCAGCCGCGGUAAUACGGGGGAUGCGAGCGUUAUCCGGAUUUAUUGGGUUUAAAGGGCGCGUAGGCGGGACGCCAAGUCAGCGGUAAAAGACUGCAGCUAAACUGUAGCACGCCGUUGAAACUGGCGACCUGGAGACGAGACGAGGGAGGCGGAACAAGUGAAGUAGCGGUGAAAUGCUUAGAUAUCACUUGGAACCCCGAUAGCGAAGGCAGCUUCCCAGGCUCGAUCUGACGCUGAUGCGCGAGAGCGUGGGUAGCGAACAGGAUUAGAUACCCUGGUAGUCCACGCCGUAAACGAUGCUCACUGGAUCUUGGCGAUACACUGCCAGGGUUCAAGCGAAAGUAUUAAGUGAGCCACCUGGGGAGUACGUCGGCAACGAUGAAACUCAAAGGAAUUGACGGGGGCCCGCACAAGCGGAGGAACAUGUGGUUUAAUUCGAUGAUACGCGAGGAACCUUACCCGGGUUUAAAUGUAGAUUGCAUGAGGUGGAAACACUUCUUCCCUUCGGGGCUAUUUACAAGGUGCUGCAUGGUUGUCGUCAGCUCGUGCCGUGAGGUGUCGGGUUAAGUCCCAUAACGAGCGCAACCCCUAUCGCCAGUUGCCAGCGGCUGAGGCCGGGCACUCUGUCGAGACUGCCACCGUAAGGUGCGAGGAAGGCGGGGAUGACGUCAAAUCAGCACGGCCCUUACACCCGGGGCGACACACGUGUUACAAUGGCCGGUACAGAGGGCAGCCACGGGGUGACCCGGAGCGAAUCUCUAAAGCCGGUCGUAGUUCGGACUGGAGUCUGCAACCCGACUCCACGAAGCUGGAUUCGCUAGUAAUCGCGCAUCAGCCAUGGCGCG